AAUCCCCAAAUCCCCAGUCAGUGCCUUCCUCUCUUCUGCAAACCCUUCUUUCUCUCUGGCUCGCUCUUGCUGCCUCGUCGUCGCCGUCGCUCGCGGCUCACUGCUGCCCUCGCCCUUGCUCUCGCCUCUCGCAGCUCGCCCUCGCCCUCAUUGAACUUAUUUAUUUCAAUGAGACGUGAAGGUUGCUCUUGGUUAUUUCCGUAACCAUCUCACGCCCAAGUUGCUUGCCGUUCCAAAUAUUGACAAAUUUGCUCAUCUCAUUAGGGAGCAGCGCAAGAAUCCACCAUCUGUUCCAACUUUAGUGGCUGUAAAAUGGGCAAGUUAGCUUAGGCAUGCUGUACUUAUCAUCAAUUGGCAUAAUUUUGGAUAUACUUUAUUUGCAUUGUCUCUUGGAAGAAGUAGUCUUUUGUGGCACUGUACCGUUGGUAUACUUCAAUGCCUUGUUAACAUUUCUUUGGAAUUUUGAAGGGCUUUCUUGUCUGUAUACAUGAAGUGUGAGUUUUUGGACACUGAUGAGCAAUUACAGGCAAUUACUAUAAUUCUUCAUGAGUCAGGGAUUCAAGUGCCUCUUUCGAUUCUAUCUCUUUUCACCCCAAAUCAAGGUUCAAAUGAAUCGCAUGCACAAUCAACUGAAGUGUUGGAGUGAAGACAUUAAAGUAUAUUGUGGUGGUACUUGCAUCGUCAUAUUCGAAUAAGUUUUGUGAAAUUUACUUUUUUAAUUUAGAACUUUUAUUGAAAUACUAAUUAGAUGUUAAUUACUUUUAUAUUUUUUGAUGUGUCAUUGGAAUUUAUUUUUUGUGAUAGAUUUGUUCAUUAUAUAUCAAUUCAUUUGUG